GACGAACGCUGGCGGCGUGCUUAACACAUGCAAGUCGAACGGAAAGGCCCUGCUUUUGUGGGGUGCUCGAGUGGCGAACGGGUGAGUAACACGUGAGUAACCUGCCCUUGACUUUGGGAUAACUUCAGGAAACUGGGGCUCAUACCGGAUAGGAGCUCCUGCUGCAUGGUGGGGGUUGGAAAGUUUCGGCGGUUGGGGAUGGACUCGCGGCUUAUCAGCUUGUUGGUGGGGUAGUGGCUUACCAAGGCUUUGACGGGUAGCCGGCCUGAGAGGGUGACCGGCCACAUGGGGACUGAGGUACGGAGCAGACUCCUACGGGAGGCAGCAGUGGGGAGUAUUGCACAAUGGGCGGGAGCCUGAUGCAGCAACGCCGCGUGCGGGAUGACGGCCUUCUGGUUGUAAACCGCUUUCGCCUGUGACGAAGCGUGAGUGACGGUAAUGGGUAAAGAAGCACCGGCUAACUACGUG
rnacentral:rRNA from 1 species